UACGUAGGGGGCAAGCGUUGUCCGGAUUUAUUGGGCGUAAAGAGCGUGUAGGCGGCUUUACAGGUCCGUUGUGAAAACUCGAGGCUCAACCUCGAGACGCCGGUGGAAACCGUAAAGCUAGAGUCCGGAAGAGGCGAGUGGAAUUCCUGGUGUAGCGGUGGAAUGCGCAGAUAUCAGGAGGAACACCAAUAGCGAAGGCAGCUCGCUGGGACGGUACUGACGCUAAGGCGCGAAAGCGUGGGGAGCGAACAGG
rnacentral:rRNA from 1 species